CACCUCUAGCAUUUCCAGUAUUAGAGGCACUGCCUGCCCAGUGACAUCUGUUUAAACGGCCGCGGUAUCCUAACCGUGCAAAGGUAGCAUAAUCACUUGUUCUCUAAAUAGGGACUUGUAUGAAUGGCCACACGAGGGUUUUACUGUCUCUUACUUCCAAUCAGUGAAAUUGACCUUCCCGUGAAGAGGCGGGAAUGACUAAAUAAGACGAGAAGACCCUAUGGAGCUUUAAUUAACUGAUUCACAAAAAACAACACACAAACCUAACCUUCAGGGACAACAAAACUUUUGAUUGAAUCAGCAAUUUCGGUUGGGGUGACCUCGGAGAACAAAAUAACCUCCGAGUGAUUUAAAUCCAGACUAACCAGUCAAAAUAUAUAAUCACUUAUUGAUCCAAACCAUUGAUCAACGGAACAAGUUACCCUAGGGAUAACAGCGCAAUCCUAUUCCAGAGUCCAUAUCGACAAUUAGGGUUUACGACCUCGAUGUUGGAUCAAGACAUCCUAAUGGUGCAACCGCUAUUAAGGGUUCGUUUGUUCAACGAUUAAAGUCUU
rnacentral:rRNA from 1 species